rnacentral:rRNA from 1 species
UGCGUAGGUCCCGAGCGUUGUCCGGAUUUAUUGGGCGUAAAGCGAGCGCAGGUGGUUUAUUAAGUCUGGUGUAAAAGGCAGUGGCUCAACCAUUGUAUGCAUUGGAAACUGGUAGACUUGAGUGCAGGAGAGGAGAGUGAAUUCCAUGUGUAGCGGUGAAAUGCGUAGAUAUAUGGAGGAACACCGGUGGCGAAAGCGGCUCUCUGGCCUGUAACUGACACUGAGGCUCGAAAGCGUGGGGAGCAAACAGG